CCCACCCCCCACACCCACAUAAACACUCACACCCACACCCACUUACCUGGUUGUUCAGUCCAGAAACUCCUCCCAUGGGCCAUGCUGAGUGCGGGUGGUCAUGACCCGAUACCAUUUCUGAUCAUGAAUCACAGCCCUUGAUGAAGCACCCUGAUGUCUCCCACAUCGGGCAUGUGCUCCGCUCCCCGGGCCCAGGUCCUGCUCUGGACACUGGGGUGACCUCAGCAGGUCAGGCUCAUCUCCAGUUCCCCCCAGUCUGGUGUAGGAGGGACAGAUCCGCAAAAGGGCUGCCACCAUAGAGAAAGCCUGGGGGACCUCUGGCUUGAGUUCCAGAGAAGGCCUCUUGGAGGGUGUCACCAAGUGGCCUGAAGGAUGAGAAGGCAGCAGGAAGCAGAGUGGGAAGGGUGCUCUAGGCCUAGGCAGAAGGACAUGCAAGGACUCUGUGGCAUGGGGAACAGAAGCUGGGGCCAGCAGCUCGGUGUGGCUGCAUGUGGGGAGGGGAGGGAGAGGAGGACAGCCAGCUGUUGGGGCCUGGGUCAGGAAGAACGUUUGCACACAGUAGGGCUGUUUGGCUGCAAGCUCACCUGGCUAAGUUCAGCCAAGAAGGGAAUUUACAGGAAGGACAUGGUUGCAACUAACAGAAGCCUUAUGAGCCAACUUUAUUAUGAAAAACAUAAAGGUGGUUCACGGUGUUUCUUGGCUCUCAUAUAAAUAAAAAAAUCCAGGGAUUUUGGGCUUCAGGUAUGGCAGGAUCCAGGACUCCAAUUCUUUAAUAAUGUCUCUUUCUCUUUCUUUCUCCAUCCCUUAUCUUUUUUCCCCUGGUAUGGCAAAGUGGUUGAGGGCUUUCCUGAGAGUAAAGUUAAUAAAGAGACCAGGGCUGUUUGAAUUGGGAUCUUUCACCACUACCAAAGAGACCUCAUAGAGCCUUGAAUGUCAUGCCAAGGAACAUGGACUAAUCCUGAGACAGGCACUUUGAAGGAUUUUGGGCCAAGGAGUUAUGAGGCUUGGGUUUGAGGAAGGAAAAGCCCAAAGGCAGGGUCCCCUAAAAAGGCUUGGGGAAGUUGUCCUGUGGGGAGGCAGGGACGGGGAUAAGUUUGAGUGGCAUUGUCAACCUUCUGGUGGCAUCAGCUUUUCUUGGAAAUGGCAGGUUUCUUCAUGGAUAUUACCUGCUCAUUAUCAGAUCCACAAGCAAUCGGUGCAGCGUGACUCGCAGAAAUGGAAAGCGAGCUCCUGUUCACACUUGAGGCAGAGACCCAGAGACAUCAAGUGAUUUUCCUGAGGCCACACAGUGGUCAGAGAUGAGACCAAGAGCCUUUCUUUUCUACUCCAAGUGGAGGCUGUUAGAGGAGCUGGGGCCCCAGUCUGUGUGAGCUGUUGCUUCUUGCAAAGACCCACAGGAAGAGGACCCGCUGAGAAGCCCCAGCAAGUGUGGAUUGGGAGCAGAGGUCGUGGGAGGAGAGAAAUUGGCCCAGCUUUGCAUCCUAUCACAAGGAGACUGAAGGGCUGUGGCUACGUGUGUCACAAGGACCAGGAGGCCCUGAACUGGCCGACAUGACUCUCCCGUGCUUCCCGCCUUCGCCGACUUCCACCUCUGGCCCGGAGCCGAGGAACAGGCGGGGCUCUGUAGUGGGAUUGUGUCCUGUGGCCAGGCAGCUGGGAGGGGGCCACCCGAGGGACAGGAAAUAGCUGGAUUUGGGGAAGUCGCAUGGCCAGCCAAGCCAAGCGAGCCCACGACCGCCUGGGCAGCCCUCAGCGAGGCUGAUCAAUGCCCCGUUUCAGGCUCACACAGGGGUCCUUUGACAGGGCUGCGAUGGUUUGGACCCACUGAGAGCGUCUGUUUGAGCUUCAUGCUUGGAAGGGAGCCGGCCCCAGGAUGGAGGGGGCCUGGGCAGGUGAGGGCAGCCUGGACUGGCUGUCUCUUGGAGGGAAAAAAGAGCUGGUAAAAUUAAACCUGGGGUGCUAAGCGGGGCAACCUCAGGUUUUUCGGGGGCUGUGAUGGUAGCAAGAAGGGUCCCUGCAAUUGAGCGGGCCCUUCAGUGUGCUGGCUCCAUGGACCUCCCUGCGGCCUCACGCGGCAGGUGCUGGGUGGGGCUCAUUCCUGAGGUUCAGGGAGGGGACUGCAUCUGCCCAGAGUCACGCGCCAGCCAAGGGGCAGAGCUGGGUUUGGACUUCAGUCCACCCAAUUGGACCUGAGCUUGUCCCUCUGGACCUUUCUGGGUAACCUCGCCCUUGCUCUGGGUCUUUCCACCUCACAAGGCCCUCAUUCAAUCCCUCUGCCAGGCUGUGAGCCCUCUUGGGAGGGCUCGGAAAUAAGGGGGAGGCCUCGGGGGCAGCAGGGAGAUUGUGGCUGUUGCAGGCCCCGGGAUGGUGGUGCCCAGCUCUGAGCAGAGGACAUGGAACGGGGGAUGGAAAAGGAUGCACUGAGUUUGGUUGGUGCUGGAUUCGUGCUACCUUAGGGGACGAACUCCUAGGUGCUUAGGAGGCAGCUGGGUCUGUAGGUCUGGAGUUCAGGAGAGCGAGGAGGCAGGGAGGGAGGGAAGUUGAGUUGUGAGUGCUACUUGCGGACAUGUGGGUGGGAUGACAGGUUUAGGCGGGUGUCACCCAGGUUCUCAGAGGUGUUAACCCAUCAGCAGGAUGUGCUGCUGUGCCAUGACCACCCCGGACAGGUCCACAGAUGAAAGCACACGCCUCCUCACCCUGAAUGCCAGCUUGGUUGACCGUGCGUAGAGCCUGAGGCCAAGCACAUGGGAGGUUUCAUGAACCACAUGUGGCACCUUGGAUCACAGGGACUGUGGCCUGAACGGGGUCUGGGCAGGAGGAGGAGCCCAGCUGCACUGCAGGCUCCUGGGUGGGAGAAUAAGGAUGGCCACUUUUCGGAUGAGGAACCUGCCCUGUGCCUGAGGCCACCCCACGUUCCUGUGUCUCUGCCUGAAUUUUGGGAAGACCAGAGAUUCACGUCCCAUCUGAUACUCUGGCAACGUCUCCAAUUCGCUGUGAAGCCGUUUAAGGGUGAAGAAAAGCAGUUCCAGGUUAAAGGAAGUCAGGAGCAGGACCCACCUGGGGUUCUCCUUGGCUCUUCGGGUGGCAGCACAGCCCCUGCGGAGGGCUCAAGAAGCAGUCACUGUGUGUAUCCACAGCCACAGGCCUUGCCCACUGCCUGCUAGGACGGGUUCUCAGGGAACCCGUGCUCACAUUCCAGCCUGUCUGCUGGGUCUCCAGGGGGAAGCCACCCCAAUUAGCCACCAAAAGCGCUCUGAUGGUCUGUGGGCACGGUGGGGAGCUGCUGGCAUGAGGGAGCCGCGGUUCUAAAUGCAUAAACAGCAUCCUCCUGGGACACAAUGUUGCUGCCAUGUCAGUGGCCCAGAUGGUAGAACAGGACACUCGCCUGCCACUUCCUCUGCUCCACGUACUGUGGGGACAUGCCAGGCUGGAAAACAGCAGGGCCAAGGCCUGGGGAUGUGGCCAGGUAGCCUGAGAAAAGGACUUGGGUGCAGGUAGCUUAUUUGGGAAGUGAUCCCAGGAAAUACAGUGAGGGGGAGUGAGGUGGGGACAGGAUAAAAGCUCAUAAAAUGUGCAUUAAUAAGCAGGUCACCUCUGUGGGCAACCAGGCUCACUCCUGCUGGGGACCUUCUGAGGAACAGUGAGGAGCAGGUCUCAGAGAACUGUCUGGUGGGGGAUGGGGGCUUUGGGGUCUUCUGAUCCCUCCAGGCUGCAUGUUAUCCCUGGGGAUGGUAAAACCCCGGGCUACCUGGCCCCCUGCCCGAGUCCCUGGGAACUGCCUGCUGCAGCUGUGGGUGAGCUGAACCCAUGGUGGGCUGAAGGGCCAUGGGUCAGGGCAUUAACUGGGCCAGCUUGAGUUCCCAGUGCUAAACCUGGGCCCACUCCUCCAAAUGCUCAUUUCUUCUUCCAGUGUGAUUGACCGUAGGCGCAUUCCUCAUGGGAAGCUCUCAGGCACUCCUGGGGUGAGGGCUAAAACUCUGGCCCCGAGAAGGCCUGUAGCAGGGAUGCAACUUGUAUUUUUAACAACCAGCAUUAGGGUUCUGGCGCUACAGACACGAAACACAGGCAGAAAAAGGAGGGAUUUACCGGAAGUCACCACCGCUGGCCUGUGACAGACGGGGACUCAAGCCCAGCUCUCUCUGAUUCUAAAGCUGUUCACAUCACAAGAUUCCUCAAUGUCUGGUGUGCAUGCCACUGGCAGAAAACAAGAAAAUUUUCGGUGAUAUGCGUAUGAAAAAGCUAAAUUUAAUUAGUUUUGAAUUUAUUUGAAUUUUAUAUGGAACCAAUCUCUAUUGGAAUAAACAAACAGUACAUCAAA